GACAGAGGGUGCAAACGUUGUUCGGAAUUACUGGGCGUAAAGCGAGUGUAGGCGGUGUGGUAAGUCGGAUGUGAAAGCCCCGGGCUCAACCCGGGAAGUGCACUCGAUACUGCCACGCUAGAGUAUCGGAGAGGUUGGUGGAAUUCUCGGUGUAGAGGUGAAAUUCGUAGAUAUUCGCAAGAACACCAGUGGCGAAGGCGGCUCACUGGCCCGGUACUGACGCUGAGGUGCGAAAGCGUGGGGAGCAAACAGGG
rnacentral:rRNA from 1 species